AACUCUGGAACCUGGGAAAUCCAAGAUCCAGGCAUCUGAAGAUUUGGUGUUUGGUGAGAACCCCUGUAGUUCCUAGAUGUCUUUCUUGCUGUGUCCUCAGGUCGAGGAAGGAAGGAGUCAGAGGAGGUCUCCAGUCCCUUUUACAAGGGCACUAAUCCCAUUCCUGAGGGCUCCACCCUUGUGAAUUGAUCACUUCCCAGGGCCCCACCUCCCAAUACCAUCCCACUGGGGUUUAGGUUUCAACAUAAGAGGACACUCUGACUAUAGCACAAACCAAGACCUCCAUGAGUUACCAUGUAACAUCACCAGAUGGACAAAAAUGAAAAAAAUCUGACAAUGCCUAGUGCUAUCAAGAAAGUAAUGCAAUGAAAACUGGAUUGCUGGGACUAGCAGAAACCGACGAUAAAGGGCAGAAAAUAAUGAAACUUAGCACAAACACUAUAGAAAGGAUCAACAAAGCCAACCACUGGUGCUUUGGUAAAAAACAAUAAAACUGACAUCUUGGGAAAUAAUCUGAAAUUAGCAAGUAAAAUUGCAGGCAUGCAUUCUCUAAAACCCCACAGUUGACCCAAAAUAUUUUUUCUAAAGAAAAAUCUGAACAUGUACAGAGGGAACAUGUAUAACAACAUUCUUAACCUUGCAGUUCCUUAUGGAGACAAGUAAGACAGCACCCAAAUGUCCAUUUUCUGUGUCAAUAGAGAAGAUGGCAUCCUCAAACAAGGGAAACAGCCGAAAAAAAUGUCUUUAUCAGAGCUUUACACAAGGCACAUGAACUUCAGGAAGUCCUUGGUGGAAAACAGGAGACUCAUGGAAUCCACACAGCAAGACCCGUGCCAUACAUGAACUUGAGAAGCAACAUGGGGGCUGGCAUGUGGCUCAUGGGAGAGCUCUUGUCCAGCUCGCACAAAGCCCUGGUCCCAUCCUCAGCACUGCUAAAAGGAAGAAAAGGAAACAACAUAAAGCCAAAGCACAUAUUGUUCCAGGAGGCAAACACAGGGGGUGAAACUACUGAAAAAAAUCCAAGAGGAUGAAAAUCACAGCAGUGCAGUGGGUGAGAUGACAAGGGCCACCGGAGGGAGGUCCAUGUGAGCGUUGGUGCAUCCCCACCCCUGCAGAUAUUGUAGAUAUUUUGCAUGUGCUUAAUUAAAAAACAUUUAUUGAAGUAAAAUUCACAUAAUAGCAGGCAACAGAGGCACACAACUAUAGUCCCAGCUACUCUGAAGGCUGAGGAGAGAGGAUCACUUGAACUCAGGAGUUCAAGACAAGCCUGGGCAAUAUAGCGUGACACUGUCUUAAAAAAAGGAAAAAGAAAGUAAUUCACAAAACAAAACAUCUUUUUCUUUCUUUCCUGUGUGUGUGUGUGUGUGUGUGUGUGAGCGUGCGCGUGCACGCUCGCACUGGGGAUUGAACCUAAGGGCAUUUUACCACUGAGCUACAUCCCCAGUCCUUUUUAGUUUGGGGGACAGGGUCUUGCUAAGUUGCUGAAGCUGCAUCAAACUUGUUAUGAUCCUCCUGUCUCGGUCUUCCCAGUGUCUGGGAUUGCAGGUGUGUGCCAUGGCAUUUGGCAAAAUAAGCAUUUUAAAGUGAACAACUCCGUGUUAUUUAAUACAUACAAUGUCAUGUCUGGUACUACAUCCAUCUCAAAGCCAUCUCCCCAAAAGCUGUUUUUCCACCUUGACCAACAUCUCCUCCUUCCCUGCCUACCCUCCACCCAGCAUCUGGUAACCAGCAUUCCUCUCUCUACCUAAACAAGUUCCACAUCUUUAUUUUCCCCUAUGUAAGCGAGAUCAUGGCUUGUCACUUCGCAUAACGUCCUCUAGGUUUAUCAAUAUUAUUGAAAAUGACAGAAGUUCUUUUUUUUCAUAGGCUGAAAAGUAUUAUUUUGUAUGUAUGUACUGCAUUUUUUCUAUAUCCAUUAUCUGCCUGUGGA
rnacentral:lncRNA from 1 species